GACGAACGCUGGCGGCGUGCUUAAUACAUGCAAGUCAACUGAACUUAAGAUAGCAAUAUUUUAAGGGAGGUGGCGCACGGGUGAGUAACACGUAGGUAAUCUGCCUUUAGGACUGACAUAACCCAGAGAAAUCUGGGCUAAUAUCAGAUGAUGCAGCGGCUCGACAUCGAGACAGUUGUUAAACCUUCGGGGCCUAAAGAUGAGCCUGCGUCUGAUUAGGUAGUUGGCGGGGUAACGGCCCACCAAGCCAUCGAUCAGUAGCUGGUCUGAGAGGAUGAUCAGCCACACUGGAACUGAGACACGGUCCAGACUCCUACGGGAGGCAGCAGUAAGGAAUAUUGCUCAAUGGCCGAAAGGCUGAAGCAGCAACGCCGCGUGGAGGAUGAAAUACUUUUGUAUGUAAACUCCUGUAAGAAGGGAAAAUAUUCCGAUUUAUCGGGAUUGAUUGUACCUUCAGAGUAAGCCCCGGCUAACUACGUGCC
rnacentral:rRNA from 1 species